CAGUCGUACCGGCGGGUAAUCAGCCUUUUGGGUGUGAUUAUGUGGGGCGUGAGGAGUUAGAUCGCAUUGAAAGGGAAACGAUUGAAGUCAGUCGUACUGGCGGGCAAUCAGCCUUUUGGGUGUGAUUAUGUGGGGCGUGAGGAGUUAAUCACCCUCAUCUUUACAUAUUCGUGCACUUUGGGUGUACUUGCUCGUGUGGUAGGUUAACAUCAAUUUUGAUCGUCAUAAAAUGAUCGGAGGAAUGUAGCUUCGAUCUUGUAUUGAAGUGUUAUAGCCUUCGGUAGAUGUGAUGAUUGGGAUUGAGGAUUGCAACGGAUACCCUUCGGGGCUACCUGUCUGAUCUCUGAAAGUUGCUCUGGUGCCGAAAGCUUGCUUACGGUAUUAAAGUUGACGUUCAACAGGUUAGAACGGGAUAAA
rnacentral:rRNA from 1 species